rnacentral:lncRNA from 1 species
UGAAGACAAAAAUAGAUUUCAAUCUGGAGAUAUUUUACAAGAAACAGAAAAUAUUGAUGACAAUAAAUUUUAUUAUGUGAUUUGUGAAAAAGAAAUUUCCGGAGCCCACAAGUGUUCAGGGUGUCAUUAAUAUGUUCACGUUAUUUGCAGAGAAAGUGAUGAAAUUAAUGAGGGCUUUGGACAGAAUGUCAUUUGCAAGCUCUGUAAAAGGAAGAAUAGUAUCAGCGUAGAGAGGGAGAGUGCUAAAUUUGGUCAGGAACAACAAGCAAAAAAAUGCUUUCAUUUUCUCAGUCAAAAUUUCAUGAGGUUGAAGUUGAAACUAAUGUUGUGGUCAGAGAGCCUGAUGUGGACAGAGGACGUGUAGCUCCUAGAAAUGUCUUAGCUGUUGUUGCAUCAAACACGUCGAAAGGACUUUAUCAAUUAGGUAUGAAAAAAGGGCUCCUUAAGCGACUUUAUGCUCGAAAUAAAUUUACAAUUUCUGAGAGCAACUUUACUGAACUGCGAGA